CAGUGACAAGAGGGCCCAGACGGCAGACGCACUGUUAGCGCUCGUUAGGGUCAACUCGUUAAGGAAUGAAAUAAAUAAACAUAAAAAGAAAAAAGGAAAAGUUUUGAUGGUGUGGAGGAGUGCUAGAACGUCUCCUUUUUCUCAUCCUGUCUUGAAGGGGGGGGGCUGUGAACCCAAGCGUUUGAGCUGUGAACCUGUGUGACACAGCUGCAUUUUCUGCUGCUAAUGAUUUCUUACAAAAAGUGGAUCAGAGCUGAACGCUUUUCACAAGUUGCAGAGCCAAUCACCGUCGCUCUCCCCCAGCUCCUUCCACACUGAACUGGGCUGCUCUACCCCAGCUCCUCCACAGAGUUCUGGGAGGAGUCUGUUGUCAGUGCUGUAACAAUUAAUUCUAUGUGACAAGUUUUUCAGAGCCUGCUACAAUAUUCCAUGGCAACAUACUCCUGUACCACCCAUCACUUACAAUGUAGUAGUAGUAGUAGUAGUAGUAGCAGAAGUAGUACUGUAGCAGUAGUAGUAGUAGCAGUAGUAGCAGUAGAAGGAGCAGUAGUAGUAAUAAUGGUAGUAGUAAUAGCAGUAGUAGUAGUAGCAAUAGUAGUAGCAGCAGCAGCAGUAUUAGUAGUAGCAGUAGAAGUAUCAGUAGUAGUAAUAAUAUUAGUAGUAGCAGUAGUAGUAGCAGUAGUAAUAGUAGUAGCAGUAGCAGUAGUAAGCAGCACUAGCAGCAGAAGUAGUAGUAGUAGUAAUAAUAUUAGUAAUAGUAGUAGUAGUAAUAGUAAUAGUAAUAGUAGUAGUAGUAGCAGCAGUAGUAGAAUAGUAAUAGAAGUAGCAGUAGUAGUAACAAUAGUAAUAGUAGUAGUAGCAGUAGCAGUAGUAGUACUAGUACCCGCUGCCAUAGUAGUGUGUGGGGGAUAGAAAGAGAAGUUUGUCCUAGUUUAUGCACUUGUGUGUGUAUAUAGAAGACACUGCAAAUCCUUCCAUAUAAAAACAAACAAAACAAUUAAAUUAAUGUUUACCAGUCUCACUUCGUCAGCUUCAGAACAUCUGUUGAAUUCAGCUCCGUGAUCACUGGCAACGUAACGGAAAGGAAGCCAGAAACACUACUUAAAAGCUUUGAUCAGUGUGUAAAUUAAAGGGGUCAACCAGGUGCAGAGCCAUUUGCUGCUCAUACAGAUCCUAACAAUACACUGACCAUGAGUGAGCACCAAGGACUCAGGGAUGAGCUGAGAUACAGUAUGCAGAAAAUACGUGCAUGAGUUGGGUUGUAUGCAUGGAGUUUGUUUGGUGAAAUGUUUGCAAGUAACUGUUCUUUGUAGUGUUUCUGGUUGACUAGGCUGGACCAACUACAUUUUGACUGUAUUCAGGUGCCUGGAGAGAAUGUUCACUUUAAUUUCCUUAAAUGAAAAUGUUAUUUGGUGACGGAGAGUGAAAUGCUUAUUUACGGGCCCAUCUCAACAAUGGAUAGAGAAUAUAGGCUAUAGCAGGGGUACUCAACUCUUACGCUACGAGAUCCAGAGCCUGCUGGUUUUCUGUUCUACCUGAUAAUUAAUUGCACACACCUGGUGUCCCAUCUCUAAAUCAGUCCCUGAUUAGAGGGGAACAAUUAAAAAAUGCAGUGGGACUGGCUUCGAGGUCCAGAGUUGAGUUUCAAGGGGCAAUAUGCUUCCUCAUUGUCAUCAGUGAUCAGGCCAAUCACCGCGGUGGAGUCAGCAAAGUUAAUGAUGAUGUUGGAGUCGUCCGCGACCACGCAGUCGUGGGUGAACAGGGAGUACAGGUGGGGACUAAGCACGCUCCAAUGAGGGACCAGCGUAUUAAGGGUCAGCAUGGUGGAGGUGUUGUUGCCUACCCUCACCACCUGGGGGUGGCCUGUCAGUAAGUCCAGGAUCCAGUUGCAGAGGGAGGUGUUCAGUCCCAGGGUCCUGAUCUUAGUGAUGAGCUUGGAGGGCACUAUGGCGUUGAACGCUGAACUAUAGUCAUCGAACAGCAUUUUCACAUAGACGUUCUCUUUGUCCAGGUGGGAGAGGGCAGUGUGGAGUGCAAUAGAGAUUGUGUAAUCUGUGGAUCUGUUGGGGCGGUAUGUGAAUUGGAGUGGGUCCAGGGUGUCUGGGACGAUGGUGUUGACAUGAGCCAAGUCCAGCCUUUCAAAGCAUUUCAUGGCUGUAUAUGUGAGUGCUAUGGGAAGAUAGUCCUAGUAAUCCGUCUGGCCCCUCUGCCAUUUGAAUGUUAACCUGUUUAAAGGUCUUACUCACAUCGACUAUGGAGAGCGAGAUCACACAUCAGGAACAGCUGGUGGUCUCAUGCAUAGUUCAGUGCUGCUUGCCUUGAAGCGAGUGUAGAAGGAAUUUAGCUCUUCUGGUAGGCUUGCAUCACUGGGAAGCUCGCGGCUUUGUUUCCCUUUGUAAUCGUUGAUAGUUUGCAAGACUUACCACAUCCAACGAGCUUCAGAGCUGGCGUAGUAGGAUUCCAUCUUUGUCCUGUAUCGAUGUUUUGACUGUUUGAUGGCUUGUCGGAGGCUGUAGCGGGAUUUGUCUGUCAAGUGUCUUCACGGACAUUUUCAAACUCUGCCUGACCCAGUCUGUAAUAUCUACCUGUUUUAAGCAGAACCCAUUUUCUUGUUUGCUUAUGGACCUAUACAACUCAUUGAGUGCAGUCUUAGUGCCAGCAUCGGUUUGUGGUGGUAAAUACAUAGCUACGUAAAAUGUAGAUGUAAACAGUAGUAACAAAUAGUAUGAUCAACAGCUUAUCAUGAGGUACUCUAACUCAGGCGAGCAAAACAUAGAGACUUCCUUAACAUUAGAGAUCGCGCACCAGCUGUUGUUAACAAAAAGACACACACCUCCCCCUUAAUCUUACUCGAAGCAGAAAACCAUUUAGAAAAAUCAGCUAGAUGUACAGUACCAGUCAAAAGUUUAGAUACACCUACUCAUUCAAGGAUUUUUCUUUAUUGUUUUACUAUUUUCUACAUUGUAGAAUAAUAGUGGAAACAGCAAAACUAUGAAAUAACACAUAUAGAAUCAUAUCAUAUAUUUGAGAUUUUUCAAAGUAGCCACCCUUUGGCUUGAUGACAGCUUUGCACACUCUUGGCAUUCUCUCAACCAGCUCAUCUGGAAUGAUUUUCCAACAGUCUUGAAGGAGUUCCCACAUAUGCUGAGCACUUGUUGGCUGCUUUUCCUUCACUCUGCGGUCCAACUCAUCCCGAACCAUCUCAAUUGGGUUGAGGUCGGGUGAUUGUAGAGAUCAGGUCAUCUGAUGCAGCACUCCAUCGCUUUCCUUCUUGGUCAAAUGUCUAUUUUUUAACGAAAUCACCCUCUAUAAGAUUUAAAUUACCUCUCUGUCUGUCUUUCCCUAGUUGAGCAGUUUGACGAAGUUGGGUAAAGUUUGGAAGGAAAGAGGUAUUUUUGACCCGAUUCUUGAAACUAGUCUUAUGUCGCAAGUCACAACUUCACAGGAGAGCCUUUUGAACGUAAACAUGAUUAUUUAAAUGAAAAUGCGAUUUUGGCAGAAAUGCGAUCUCGAACAUGUGAGCUUUCAUGUGCCUUAAUAUCAAACUUGUACGCCAUCUGUAAAUACGAUACAUUAUGAAAAAUAAAUAAAUUACGCGCCUAAUUGGUUUAGCCACAGAGAAAGUCAUCAACCUUCCCGCUAGCCAUGAUUGGCUGAGAUAAGGAGUGGGCUGGACAUGCCGAGAGAUGAGUUUGGAUUGGUCUGCGGAGUGGCAUCUUGUAUCUAUAAAAUGAGCAGCUCAUAAUGCCUAGAUAAUCCUUUCUACUGCUUUAAAAAAAAAAUAACAUUAGCCAUGGAGAACUGCACAUAUGUUGCUACUGCUCUCAAUAACAUUGCUCCCCUGAAUUUAUCAGGCACUAUCGACAAAGGUCAGUGGUAAAAAGUUGGACUACUUUUUGGACUAUGAAUGCUGACUCACUCUCACUCAGAAAAGAACAUGUUUUGAAAUCAGUGGAACACAACAGGCCAAACAAGCUGUGCAAACUAAACGGAAACAAAGGAUGUCUUAUAAAAGGUUUGCAGUCUGCCGUGAAGCUUUCAUCCAUGUAUACAGGUAAGAAUCUAGCUACAGAUUCAGAUAUUAAAUAUGUUUCUAAUUUUGUCAGAAAGUUGUUUUCAUUGCAAGCUAAAGCUUGCUGUUAGCUAGCCAGCUAGAGUUCGAUGGCUGGCUUGCUAACUAACAUUAAACUUAAAGUUAUUUAGUUAACUUUAGUUUGCUGUGACAAUUGGUUUGUAUUGCUAGUAACAUUACACUGUGGAUUGGGAUUAUAGUUCAUUUUUUAGCUAGCUAACGUUAACAUUACAUGUCUAAACAAAAUAUCCCAAGUUAAAGCUUGCUGUUAGCUAGCUAAUGUUAGCUGAGGUUAGGUGGCUGGCCUGCAAACUAACAUUAACUUAUGUGUAUGAGGUGUGUGUAACAUUAGUGAUGUUUUUUAGAAUGCCAUUUCGCAUGGCUAGUUAUAGCCUAAUGUUAGCUAGCUAACAUUGAACCUAUUGGUUAACUUUAGCUAGCUAUGACAAUUGGUUUGUAUUGCUAGUUAAAGCUUUCUGUUAGUUAGCCAGCUGACAUUAGGUGGCUGGCUAGUUUCAGUAGCUAACAUUACCUGUAGGAACUGUGUGUAGUGAUACCUCAGAAUGCCAUUUCACAUCUAAUUUAUAAUAAUGCUAAAAUAUUUGUAUCUGGAAUUUAUCUUUCAGCAUCAAUUAGUAGAACAUGCCUGACUCUAAUCCACCAGUCAUACAGUCAUCAAAAAGAGAGCUAGCGCAAGAAAAGGCAGCAGCGUAGUCAUCAACUACAUGCGCCAUUUCUUCACCUACUACAGAGUUGGGAUAACACGUAUGAACCUGAAUUGUGAUAACUGCAGUGGCCAAAACAAGAACAAUUUUGUGCUCUGGUAUUGUGCCUGGUGGACCAUGCACAGGCUCCACCACAAUCUGGACCUUCACUUCCUGAUCACUGUUAGGGUUGCGUCAAUUCGAAUCUGGUAUCAGGAUAAAUAUGAUAUUGAGUCACCGGUUGUGUACUAUAUAUUUUUUAUUAGCUAAGUAAUCAGUGGUAAAUGCAAUUUUCAUAUAUACGGGCUCUCUGUCACACCUCGCAGGGCAAACAGAGAACUGACUUGUUCCUGACAAAUAUAUUAUAAUAUACUCUGAUGACAGAAGCUCUGACAGGCCUGCUUCGGGGCAGGUCUGUCAGAGUAGAGACUGGGCGUGGUUUAGACUCACCCAGCCUAUCGUUGAUUGUUUGCGCAGAGCUGGUCCCAUCCCGCGGGCGCUCCAGCGGUCAGUCGUUAUAGUUGUGUAGAAUAUACAGUUAUCGGGCACCUGGCUCCUGUUAUCUAACACACUAUGUUCUGAAUGUGCCUCCCCAAACUCAUUGCACAGUUCCUGUCUUCAUGUUAUUCUGUAUUUUUCCAUCAUAAGAAAGGCCCAUGGCCCUGAAACUGUUAACAAUGUCUCAAGUCAGCUAUGUUGCAUAACACAUAUACCCACACAAGCCAACAGCAAAUAAUAUUCCAUCACAUAUGAUAUGGUAAGGGCUAUAGUGUAUAACACAGAACCUCACAAUCCCCCUUUGGCGCCCAAUGAAUUGUGUUAACUGCAGUGGCCAAAACAAGAACAAUGUUGUGCUCUGGUAUUGUGCCUGGUGGACCAUGCACAGGCUCCACCACAAUCUGGACCUUCACUUCCUGAUCAUAGACCACCUCGAGUUUGCACCCAACUGGUGCUUCGGCCUCAUCAAGCAGCGCUUCACAAAGACCAGAGUGGACUCUUUGUCUGAGAUUGCUAGUAUUGUGAAGGACAGCACUGUGACAGCAGUCAACAUCCCACAGCUGGUUGGACUGGAGGAUGGGACAGUGCUGGUGGAAAGCUAUGGCUGGCAACAACACCUGACUCUGUACUUCAGGCUGCUGCCACAGAUCAAGCUGUACCAGCACUUCAGGAGCCUUGUGAUGUCGCCAAAGAGCGUUCGGACUGUCAGGACCAGGUUUCAGCUGCUGCGCAACGCUGACAUCCUUCCUCCCAUAGAUAGUCUGCCUGCAAAAGCACCACCUGGACUGGACACAGCUAGACAAACAGUAUUUUUGGGAAGAUUGGGGACUUUUGCGACGAAGAGGCUAUGGACAUCACAUGCCCUGCACCAAAGUCAAGGGCAGGACAGAAACAGGCUCUCCGAAUAUAGAUUCCCUUGUUCAUGCGUGGUUUGGACGGACCAGUCAUCAGCGCUAAUCUGCAGUGACUCUAUUCACGUGACUCUGUCCUAACACACACGCCAUAUGUUGCUGCUACUAUUGUUUAUCCCGCUGCUCAGCCACUUCACCCCUGAUUGUAUGCCUAUAAUUACCUCGUCUAUCACUGAUAUUGUUAUUGAUAUUGUUCUUGUACAUACUGUAAAUUUUAUUCAUACUGACACUAUCUAUUUCUGAUAUUGCUACAAUGCAAGUAACCAUUCGGCUGUACAGUUUACACCUUCUGUAGAGACCAUCCACUUAGCAAGACUUGGCAAAAUAUUGAUAUAUGAAAUGAAUAUUGAUGUCUGGUUGUAACAUGAUUUUGUGACAUAACCACAACAAUAUCAUGUGACUGUAUCAAGUGUCCACCAAAUAAAUAUAUGGCGCAUGCAGCUGUUUAUGUACAGUACUGUUUAUGUACAGCAUGGUUUAUGUACAGCAAAAAAAACUCACUCAGGUUGCAUGGACUUAACUUAUGUAUAGAAUACUAUAUGAUAAGUGCAUGUGUAACAGUAUAUAAAGUAUGCUAAUGUACUGGUGUGAAGGCAUUUGGGCAGUGGUGUAAAGUAAUUAAGUAGUACUUUAAAGUAUUUUUUACUUAAGUCAUUGUUUAUGGUAUCUGUACAUUACUUUUAAUUUUUUUGGCAAUUUUUAAUUCACUACAUUCAUAAUGAAAAUAAUGUACUUUUUACUCCAUACAUUUUUCUUGACACCAUAAAGUACUCUUUACAUUUUGACAGGAAAAUUUUCCAACUCACACAUCCCUAUACAUCCCUACUGCCUCUGAUCUGGUAGACUCACUAAACACAAAUGCUUAAUUUGUAAAUUAUGUCUGAGUGUUGGUGUGCGCCUGGCUCUCCGUCAAUAAAAAUAAUAAAAUAGUGCAG
ensembl:lncRNA